ensembl:lncRNA
UUGUCUUGUUAAAGUAUGAGGAGGUUCAUUGUGAUUUCUACAGUGUUUUAUUGUGUAAUGACAUCUGUUACAGUUUAUAGGAGCAUCAGCUGACACAUGGAGCGCAUAUGAAGAGAAGUUCAUCAUCCUAUGUGGCGUGAACAUCGUCAAUGCUGAAUUUUGUUAAAUAACACUUACAAAGGUGAAGAGUUUGACUGAGGGCACAUGCACUCACCAUCUGGCCUGAACGAUAAGCUCUUGGACGUUGCCUUGAUAUGUAGCAUUUGUAGCACCAGUGGUUUUCUCUUGUGCCUAUUUAUAUAUACAGAUAUUCUAUAUUCUUAAACUAUCUCUUUAAA